GGAUGGUAGGUGUGCACAUGCCUCCAAGAAGGCCAGCGACAACCACACCAAAUUCAUUCAAAAUACCCCUUCCGUAGGUGAACCUGCGGAAGGAUCAUU
rnacentral:rRNA from 1 species